rnacentral:rRNA from 1 species
UACGUAGGGUGCAAGCGUUAUCCGGAAUCACUGGGCGUAAAGCGUGCGUAGGUGGCGCGUUAAGUGAGAUGUUAAAUCGUGUGGCUCAACCAUAUCGAUGCAUCUCAUACUGGCGUGCUAGAGGACGGCAGAGGCAAGUGGAAUUGGUAGUGUAGCAGUGAAUGCGUAGAUAUUACCAGGAACACCAAUGGCGAAGGCAGCUUGCUGGGCCACUCCUGACACUGAGGUACGAAAGCGUGGGGAGCGAACAGG